UUUAUUGGCUUAACGAACACAGUGGAAGAUAUGCUGACUUUGCAAGGCAAUUAACAUCACGCAGCUUUGGUGUCUAUGCAAUGGACUGGAUAGGUCAUGGAGGGAGUGAUGGAUUGCAUGGGUAUGUACCAUCUCUUGAUCAUGUGGUUGCAGAUGUAGUAAGUAUAAAAUAAUGCCUCAUUCACCAUCUUUUCACUGUCGCCAUUCAUCACCGCGCUCACCAAUGUCAAAGAAACUGUGUGCUCUCUAGUGACCUCUUCUCUGCUCUGCUAUGAAGCAUCAAGGUUUUCGAUGAGGCAAAGCAUCGAUCCCUAACAAGCGAGAAGAUGGGAUGCAAAAAGAAGAG